rnacentral:rRNA from 1 species
CCAGACUCCUACGGGAGGCAGCAGUGGGGAAUAUUGCACAAUGGGCGAAAGCCUGAUGCAGCAACGCCGCGUGAAGGAAGAAGGCCUUCGGGUCGUAAACUUCUGUCCUUGGGGAAGAAGAACUGACGGUACCCAAGGAGGAAGCCCCGGCUAACUACGUGCCAGCAGCCGCGGUAAUACGUAGGGAGCGAGCGUUAUCCGGAUUUAUUGGGUGUAAAGGGUGCGUAGACGGGUAUACAAGUUGGUUGUGAAAUCCCUCGGCUUAACUGAGGAACUGCAACCAAAACUGUAUAUCUUGAGUACAGGAGAGGUAAGUGGAAUUCCUAGUGUAGCGGUGAAAUGCGUAGAUAUUAGGAGGAGCACCAGUGGCGAAGGCGACUUACUGGACUGAAACUGACAUUGAGGCACGAAAGUGUGGGGAGCAAACAGGAUUAGAUACCCCUGUA